rnacentral:piRNA from 1 species
UGGGAAACUUGAGCAGGAACCUAAGGGAA